CACGUAGGGCGCAAGCGUUGUCCGGAAUUAUUGGGCGUAAAGAGCUCGUAGGUGGUUUGUUACGUCUGCUGUGAAAACCUAGGGCUUAACCCUGGGCUUGCAGUGGAUACGGGCAGACUAGAGGUAGGUAGGGGAGAAUGGAAUUCCUGGUGUAGCGGUGAAAUGCGCAGAUAUCGGGAGGAACACCAGCGGCGAAGGCGGCACUCUGGGCUGGUACUGACGCUGAGGAGCGAAAGCGUGGGUAGCAAACAGG
rnacentral:rRNA from 1 species